rnacentral:rRNA from 1 species
AUUGAACGCUAGCGGGAUGCUUUACACAUGCAAGUCGAACGGAGUGGCGGACGGGUGAGUAAUAUAUAGGAAAGUGCCCAGUAGCGGGGGAUAACUACUAGAAAGAGAGGCUAAUACCGCAUACUAUUGGAGCGGCCGAUAGCGGAUGAGCUAGGUGGUGGGGUAAAGGCUCACCAAGGAAACGAUCCGUAGCUGGUUUGAGGGGACGACCAGCCACACUGGGAGUGAGACACGGCCCAGACUCCUACGGGAGGCAGCAGUGGGGAAUGUUGGACAAUGGGGGAAACCCUGAUCCAGCCAUCCCGCGUGUAGGAUGAAGGCCUUCGGGUUGUAAAGUACUUUUGGCAGAGAAGCGGUAUCUGCAGAAUAAGCACCGGCUAACUACGUGCCAGCAGCCGCGGUAAUUC